ensembl:lincRNA Gm12907 predicted gene 12907
UGGCAGGACCCUCAGUAACCUUACCUGUGGUGGCUCCAAGGUGGGAGCAGCGGAAGACAGCAAUUUCUACUUUUCCCUUUACAGCUUCUGACAUUUUGCACAAUAAGCAAGUAUUGCUUUUGUGAUGAAACGUUUUAAAUAUUCAUGAUGCCCUGAAGAUCUGCAUUUGAAGGAAGCAGCUGCUGGCGAGGUGUGAGCUGGGAAACCGAGCUCCUAAAUUCUUUCUGGCAUCUUGUGAGUUCCUGUCACUUGAAGAUACAGAAAGCCACGUGACGAAGCCCAGACUGGUGAUCAGAGAGAAGAGAUCAUCAGAUUGAAAGCAGGCCCCAGCUUUGAGCAGAUGCUUGCCUAGGGAAGUGUGGAAAUGCCCAAACAAUAAUGAAGUACCUGCCACAGAGCUGUUAACCAUCCUCCAAUCACAAUGAAGCCACGAUAUUGAAACAAUUAGAAACAACAGGACUGGAAAUACCAAAUAUAAGCUGGGAGUGCUGGCACAUGCCUUUGAUCUC